rnacentral:tRNA from 1 species
GGUGCUAUAGUGUAGUGGUUAUCACUCGGGAUUUUGAAAUUGACUUUCCCGAAACCCAGGUUCGAACCCUGGUAGCACCU